rnacentral:lncRNA from 1 species
AUCUACAGAAUCCUCUGCCCCGUCGGAAUCAUCGGUGGCGUCAUAGGCAAGAGCGGCAAAGUCAUAAACGCCAUCAGGGACACCACCAAGGCCAAAGUCAAAGUCUUUGACCAGUCACCUGGCUGCACCCAAAGAGUCAUCACAAUCUACUCCUCGGUUAAGGAGAAAGUCGACGUAACAGAGACCGAAACAGAGCCUCUGUGCUGUGCGCAAGAUGCUCUUCUCAGAGUCCACGACACGAUCGUGAGCUGUGUGGAGAGAAGAAGAAUGGUAAUAAGAAGGAGGAGUGUCGUCUUUUGGUUCCGUCUAGCCAAGCUUCUGGUGUGGUUGGUAAAGCUGGUGCGGUUAUCAAGAGCAUUAGGAGAAGCACUGGAGCUAGUGUUGAGGUUGAUUCUAAAGAUGUCUCGGAUCCUUCUCAUGCUUGUGCCUUGGAUUUUGACAAUGUAGUUCUGGUUAGUGUCUUUUUUUUCAAUUAUGUUAUUACAAAGAAACAUUAGUGUCUGAAACUCUAAUUUUUACUUACUUUCGGCUAGUUUUUUUUUUAAAUUAUGUUUUGGUUUUUAGAUAUCUGGUGAGCAUGAAUCUGUGAAGAAGGCUCUUUACGCUGUUUCUGCUACCAUGUACAAGACCAACCCUCGUGAACAGAUUCCUCUAGAUUCAACAACCGUGCAAGAAACUCCAGCUAGUGUUGUGAUUCCAACGGAGGUUUCUAGUUAUGUCUAUCAGAGGGCAGGUGUUCCAACGUUUGUGAAUGCAUCUGAGUUUCAGGGCUAUGCGGAAACCACUAGUCCUGUGUCUCAUGGUUUUGGAGGGUCUUCUGGAUCGAAAGAGCUGGUUUUGAAGGUGUUGUGCCCUGUGUCCGGUAUCGGCCGUGUUAUCGGGAGAGAAGGUUCAACCAUUAAUGGAAUUAGAGAAGCGAGCGGUUCUCGUAUUGAGGUUAAUAAAGCAAAUCAUGGUGAUGAUGAGUGUGUUAUUAUUGUCACCGCUACAGAGGUUUGUUUCCACUUUUUUAUCUUCAUUUCUUUUUGUAAAGUGUUGUUUUAAUAAUAUUGUUUUUUGUUUGUGUGUUUUGUUAUUCAGUCUCCUGAUGAUAUGAAGUCUAUGGCUGUUGAAGCUAUUCUUCUUCUGCAAGAGAAGAUCAGUGAUGAGGAGGAGGAGACUGUUAAGAUGCAACUUCUUGUUCCUUCCAAGGCUAUUGGAUGCGUUAUAGGGAAAAGCGGUUCGGUUAUAACCCAGAUCAGGAAAAGAACCAACGCCAGUAUCCGUAUCUCGAAAGGAAAUAACGAUGAUCUUGUUGAGGUUAUUAUAGUCCCUAAUCAAAUUUCAAAUAUUUUCUCUUUAUAUUCAACUUCGAAAUCUCUUGUAAUCAUUAGGUAUCUGGUGAAGUCAGCAGUGUGAGAGAUGCUCUCAUUCAGAUUGUUCUAAGACUUAGAGAGGAUGUUUUAGGAGAUAGAGGCAGUGUCUCUGCUAGGAAUCCUCCUCCUGCAAGAUCUGAUCAUUCCGGUUUCACAAUUCCUCCUUUUGUAUCUUCUGUUCCAGAAUAUGCUUCUGUAGAUUUUGAUCAGAGGCGAGAGACAGAGGAAAGCAGCUUGGGAAUGGUUUCUUUAGACAGAUUCUAUGGUUAUGAAAGUAGUUUCCCGGUAAGCUCACAUUUUGAGUUCUUCUGAUUCUCUUGGUGGCCGAUGUCAUACUCAUGUCUUAGUUUAAUUCAUAAACAGGCAAGAGAUCGUGGUUUGGUAUCAGUCGGUCCAUACUCAUAUGGAGGGUAAGUUUUGCAAACUACACAAAUUGUUUAAAACUUUUUUUUUCUCGUGUAUUAGUUUUUGUUCGUCUUCUCAAAUACUUGUAAAAAUCUAAAACAUUUUCAUCUUACCAAUUGGUUCAAUUUCUAAAAAAAAAUAAAAAAAAUUAAGAACCUCAUAGGGGACAUUCUCAAAACUAAUUACAAUAUUAAGAGUUCUAAACUAUUUAAAGUACACAAUUAAUAAUUAAAUUAAUUUUAAGAACUCAUUAAAGACUCUAACCAAUGGAGUUGCUCUUACUAUUUGACAUUUUUCAAUGUUUGUUUCACUUUAAUUGUGAUAUUAAGUAGAAUGAAGUAACACAAAUUAUGAUUUAAUUAUUUUUUGGUCUUAUAUGUUUGUUUCUAGAAGUCAUUGGAAUUUUUCAAAGCAAGUCAAUAGUGUACUAUACAUAUUGAUUAUACAUACAUCACAAGCAUUUGGGUGACUCACAUUUGUUUGAACGAUAUGAGUAAACACCAUCAAGAUCUGCUACAUUGGAUCAAACAUACAUCACAAGCGUUUGGGUGGCACGCAUUGGUCUGAAUGAUUUUGAGUAAACAUCAUCGAGAUAUAUAUUAUAUUCAAUGAUUGAGAAUCUAUAGCUUUAUAUAUCGAACUACGAGAACCCUUGAGCUUGCUUUGUCUUGGCCUUUCACGGCGUCUUUGAAAUCAAUAUGCUAAAAAUCUGUUUAGAUGGCACAUAGAAUUUUUCUAAUUUCUCUAACUUCGCUCUAUAAUUUACUUUAAAAUUUUAAAAAAUACUCAAUUCUAUUUUAUUUUUCACUCCAUAGUAGAAUACAAAGUGAAUCAAUUCCGAAUGAUUUUAUUUUAUUUUGUUCAUUAUUCCAUUUUUACUCGAGAAUGUUAUAGAGUUGAAGCAAACCCAACUUCAUUAUAAAAUUACUCCCUUGUAAAAGAAAAAACUGAAAGCAAAUAGAUCAUAAACAAACAAUUAAUCCUCUAUAAAGCUCUUAAUUAUACACACAUUUGAAAUUAUAUUCAACCUGCGGGUAUCCGGGUCGACCCAAAAAGGUUAGUUAUUUUUGCCGCUAAAAGGUUUGAAACUCUACACGGUUCUUUGGCCUUAGUUUACUUACGACGAAUCUUUUCCCUUGGAUGCUUUUUCUGUUUUUUUCAUGAUUAAUAGCAGUUGAGACCUAAGCUCAACCUCCUGUUCGUACAUUGUCGGAUUGUUGUCUCAAAAUCAUGAACUUUCGAGUUCUCUUGUCGUCAUCCUCCCCCAAGUUCGAUUCUUUCUCCUUGCUACGUCGUUUGAGUUUCUCCACGGACUUGAGUCUUCGGAUCAUUAAACAAGUUCCCCCCAACCACGAUCAGAUAUAUAACAGUCUCCUCAAAAUAUGUUUGGACCAGUGCAAAUUAUUCAAAACCCGCAAGGUGUUCGACGAAAUGCCUCAGAGACUUUUACACGUCUCGAGAAUCGGCAAAGCUGUACAUUCCAGGAGCUUGACGCUCGGAAUCGAUCCAAAAGGGAGAUUAAGCAACGCUGUUGUUGAUUUAUAUUCCAAGUGUAAAGAAACGGCUUACGCUGAGAAGGUGUUCGAGUCUCUUGAGAAGGAUGUAACGGCUUGGAACUCGAUGCUAUCGAUGUAUUCCAGCAUUGGGCUACCUGGAAAGGUCUUGAGGAGUUUUGUGUCGUUGUUUGAGGGUUUGGUUUUUCCGAAUAAGUUCACUUUUUCGAUUGUUUUAUCGACAUGUGCCAGGGAGAGUAAUGUAACGUUUGGUAGGCAGAUUCAUUGCUGUAUGGUGAAGACGGGUUUCGAAAGGAACUCGUAUUGUGGAGGGGCUUUGGUUGAUAUGUAUGCUAAGUGUGACUGCAUAGGUGAUGCUCGGCGAGUUUUCGAUGGGGUAGUGGAUCCCAAUACAGUUUGCUGGACGUGUUUGUUUUCUGGCUAUGUCAAAGCUGGUUUGCCAGAGGAAGCUGUUAUAGUUUUUGAGAAGAUGCGUGGUGAAGGACAUCGUCCUGACCAUCUAGCUUUCGUGACUGUUAUAAAUACUUACAUUAGUUUAGGGAAGCUGAAGGAUGCGCGUGUGUUGUUUGGAGAGAUGGCGAGCCCUGAUGUGGUGGCGUGGAAUGUAAUGAUCUCAGGGCAUGGGAAACGAGGGUGUGAGGAAGUAGCUGUUGAGUAUUUUCUCAGGAUGAGGAAGUCUGGUGUUAGAUCCACUCGUUCGACGCUGGGGAGUGUUUUAAGUGCAAUUGGGAUUGUAGCGAAUCUUGCAAGGCUCUACUCUUUGAGCUGAAUCAAUGAAAGCUGUUCCUCGAUAGAGCAAUCAACAUGGCAAGAGGUCCUGCAAGAGGCAGGGAUGAGGAUCAUACCAAGACAACGCUGUUCAGUAGGGGAAGGAGAGGAUCUUCUGAUGCUGCGAUACUCAACGGUGUCUUGGAGAAUGAUGUUUCCUUGUUUGUCAAUGCAGUGGAAACUGCCAAGGAAGAAUCUCCCGUCUUUGAUUCCAACGAGCAUCUGGCGGAACAAGAGCUUCCUCACUCGUGCUAUCGGAUCUAAACUCGAGUCUUCAGAGGUCGACGCAGCGACGGUGGUCGUGCUUCCCGCUGCAUCUACUUGUUCCAUUCUCACAACAGGUUCUUGUUCUUGUGUAUGCUUUUACACAUGAAAAGAAGAACAAUCAAAGUUAUAAACUUUGAAUCUUAGAGAUGGAAAUAACCAAACUUUGAAUCUUAGAGAUGCAACCAAGGCCUAAGAGAUACAUAGAACCAAAUAAACAAAACCAAAAUCGAACAAGGAACGAUAAUAGCAGAGAGAGAGAAAAGAUGAUGUACGUAGUAGUAGUAGUCUUCGGAGCUUCAAAGACGAGUGCUCCUGGUACCCUAGGACUACUCUACGGCUCCGAUUCGCAAUCGCAGCUGAGACGAUCGUCGGAGAAGACGAAAUAAGAUAGCUAGGGAGAGGCGAGAGAGAGACAUGGGCCACAAGGGUCCAUUAUCAUUUAAAUCAGAAAGCCAUAUAAGAAGCCCAAUUCAUUUUUUUUUUCUUUUUCUUAAUUCUUUUAUUAAUUUUUUCUUUGUUUUCGUCUCUAAUUGCUCAUAUUUUUAUUUAAAAACAAAUUUAUUAUUUUUUGUUUGAUGAUUAUCUUGAAGAAGGAACAAGUACAUUGUAAUUUAGAGACAUAAAAAUGUUUAUUAAAUUAUUAAAUACAUGUUAAAUUGGAAUUUAUAAAUAAUUUAUAAACUAAUAACUGAUUUUAAAAAUAUAAAUAUAAUAUUUCUUUAAAAUCAUGAAACAAUAAUUUUGUAUGUAAAAUCAAAAGUAAAUUGAUACAAAAAUAUAAAACAAAAGAAAACCAAAGAAGAAAACAAAAAUAGAUUAUGACAUUAUGUAGGGGUUUUUGUUGUAAGUUGCACGAAAUAGGGUCUUAUUAGUCAAUUCUGAAGUAACGGGACCAAUUAAGAAAUAAAAGAUUUGGGAGGCCAGUGCCCCCGAAGUGAUAAAAUAAUCUAUCCUAUCCGCCGCCGCCCGCCGCCAUCUCUUCCGUCAUCCAUCUCACUCAAUCUCCGUACGAACAUCAAAACUCUUAGAUCGAAUACAUUGUCUUUCUCUUUUCUCAAUUCUAUCUUCUGAUAAUAGAUUGCUCUUAUCUGCAACCUUUCUCUGUGCUUAUCAAUCUCACAAUGAGUGACCGUAAGAAACGAAAAUCCAAUCACAACAACAAUAACAAUAAUCAAAGGAUGCGAUAUUCAAACGAUAACCACGAAACCAUCAACAAAGACGAGCUCGUAAUCUACAGAAUCCUCUGCCCCGUCGGAAUCAUCGGUGGCGUCAUAGGCAAGAGCGGCAAAGUCAUAAACGCCAUCAGGGACACCACCAAGGCCAAAGUCAAAGUCUUUGACCAGUCACCUGGCUGCACCCAAAGAGUCAUCACAAUCUACUCCUCGGUUAAGGAGAAAGUCGACGUAACAGAGACCGAAACAGAGCCUCUGUGCUGUGCGCAAGAUGCUCUUCUCAGAGUCC